UUCUACGGGGGGCAGCAGUGGGGAAUAUUGCACAAUGGGGGGAACCCUGAUGCAGCGACGCCGCGUGAGUGAAGAAGUAUUUCGGUAUGUAAAGCUCUGUCAGCAGGGAAGAAGAAAGACGGUACCUGACCAAGAAGCCCCGGCUAACUACGGGCCAGCAGCCGCGGUAAUACGUAGGUGACAAGCGUUGUCCGGAUUUACUGGGUGUAAAGGGCGCGUAGGCGGGAUAGCAAGUCAGUCGUGAAAUGCCGAGGCUUAACCUCGGAGCUGCGAUUGAAACUGUUAUUCUUGAGUAUCGGAGAGGG
rnacentral:rRNA from 1 species